GUACAGUAUGUGGAUGAAAUGAUGAUGGACAUUUUAAACGAGAUAUUACUGAUGAAUGAUUUGAAGGGGAAAUACUUGAAGAGAGUGACGGCCUGCGAAUGAGAGGCCAGCUCACAGACGUUCAGUAGCAAAGGGUCGGCCAGGGUUAGGGGACCCCCCCCCACCCCCCAGCGGCCCUCAGAUGUAGUAGCCGAGGGCCAGGCCUGAGGAGCUUCUCUGUGUGAAUAUUAGCACUGCCAGAGUAGGAGUGUGUGCGCGUGUGUAUGUGUUAUUGAAUUUGGGAGUAAGGCUUAGGUGUGUGUGUGUGCAGCGAGGGGCUGGAGUGGCUUUGUUGUGAAAACUGAUUGGUCAGGUCUGUCUGAGUGUGAUUGGUCAGGUCUGUCUGAGCGUGCUCUGAGUGAGAUUGGUCAGGUCUGUCUGAGCGUGCUCUGAGUGAGAUUGGUCAGGUCUGUCUGAGCGUGCUCUGAGUGUGAUUGGUCAGCAUGCUCUGAGUGAGAUUGGUCAUGUCUGUCUGAGCGUGCUCUGAGUGAGAUUGGUCAGGUCUGUCUGCACUGGACCAACCUUCAUGAAAGGAAAGGAGAUAGUACCGCAGCAACAACAAACUAAUCAACAACAACAAACCAAUCAACAACUUAUCAACGUGACCCACGUCAAUAACAUCCGCCUCCCAAUAAUUAGUAGCCUGGUGUAUGUGCAUUCGGAUUCUCUUAGCAUCGCGGCGGUCUUUUCAUAAGUCCUUAUGAAUUCUACUUAACAUCUUUCCUUCACCUCAUGACGUUUUCCAUCGAGGUCUAGGAAAAGACGUUAGGACGGACUAUCCGACCGGUGCCUAGGUCUGUCUGAGUGUGAUUGGUCAGGUCUAUCCUAGCAGUCCCAGUCAGGACAGUCCGAGUGUAACCGCCCUGAAUAACAUGAGCACAAAUGCUCAAGGUUUGUUCGAGUGUGUUCAGUGUGGUCCCCGAGCUUAAUGUGUUCAUCUGAGCACUCUUGGUCUGGUCACUGAGAGUGCAUUUGGCUGAGUGAUUCUGACUGUUGUCAUGGUAACGAAUUACUUAAUUAACGUGGAGAGCGCCCCCCUGGGGGAAAGGUUGAGGGGUGAACUCCAGCCCCACUGUCUGUCGCUGUUUAAUGGAUUUGCCAUGGGUCCGUUUGGAGAAGUGGAGUGUGUUGGCUGUUGUGUGUUAAGUGUGGUGUGUUGGUUGGAAGGAGUGUUUUAAGCAGUGGGACCAAACUGUUGACGGGAUGACUCCCCCUGCAGGUGACCCUGAGAAAUGAUGCUGUUUUUCCCCCUCAAUCCUUUGUGAAAUGCUCAGAAGCCAUUGAGAGAGAGAGAGAGAGAAGAUUGACUGGUGAAACAAAUAAUUAUAUUAUAAAUAAGAAAUACUUUAACAGUCGUUAGGAUGUAGAUAGAGUUUAUUUUUUUGUGUCUAUUGGUCUCCAGUAAUCAGUCUCUAUUUCCUGUGCUCCUUGUGUGCGGACCGCUGUGUGUAGCCUAGUGUUGACCUCGUCUCUGUGUUCCCCAGCUCUCGUGGUGAAGUCCCCCCCCCCCCCCGUGCUGUAUGUGUGUACACUCAAUGACAGACCACCCCUCCCACCCCCCAUCCCCACUAGUAAACUCCCAGAUGAUGUCAGCACAGAUGGCCUCAGGGACCGGCCACUCCCACUCCACCAUCGACCUUUGACCCCUGAACCCCGAACCCUGUAUCUGUCUCUUUGCAGUUUAAACAGUGACCUGUCUGCUUGGCUUUCUGUUCUGUUUCUCUUCAGUUCCUUAUCUGGAAGGUUGGUUUUCUGUUUUAUUUCUUGAAUGGGG
ensembl:lncRNA